AACGAACGCUGGCGGCAGGCCUAAAACAUGCAAGUCGAACGAACCUUCGGGUUAGUGGCGCACGGGUGAGUAACGCGUGGGAAUAUCCCCUUCACUGCGGAACAACGUCGGGAAACUGACGCUAAUACCGCAUAAUGACUCCGGUCCAAAGAUUUAUCGGUGAAGGAUUAGCCCGCGUCUGAUUAGGUAGUUGGUGAGGUAACGGCUCACCAAGCCGACGAUCAGUAGCUGGUCUGAGAGGAUGAUCAGCCACACUGGAACUGAGACACGGUCCAGACUCCUACGGGAGGCAGCAGUUAGGAAUAUUGGACAAUGGGGGCAACCCUGAUCCAGCCAUGCCGCGUGUGUGAAGAAGGCCUUAGGGUUGUAAAGCACUUUCGGCUGUGAAGAUAAUGACAGUAGCAGAAGAAGAAGCUCCGGCUAAAUUCGUGCCAGCAGCCGCAGUAAAAC
rnacentral:rRNA from 1 species